CGCGGCCAGGACAGAGGGCCCGCCAGCCAGGUUAUCAGGGCUGCCCCCGGCCCUCGGCUCAGACGCUCCUGAGAAUGCGAGUCUGACUCCAGAGGACGGCGGCCCGCAGUCUCCCGGACACUCCGAGCCACCUGAUUUGGCUCGGCCUGGGAUCUGUCCUGGGGGCCUCCAGCUUUGGUGCUCACUCCAGAAGGCCCUCAACGACCUAGGCAGCAUCACCUGCUGCCUACUAAGAUGUGCAGCAGCAUGGAAUUGGAAGCUGGGAGCUGAACCCAGGCACCCAAACAAGGGACACAGGCCCAACACCCCUGCAGUGUCACCAUUUCCGCUUCCAGCCUCUUCCCUGACGGCUCCACACAACCUCCCAUCACGCGGACAUGCCACCACUUACACCAUCGCUCCCAGACUGCCGGCUUCACACGAGUCCCUGGUGCUCCCUCCGAGCGCUCGGCUUCAGCUCUGAGUGAGCACCAGCACCCUCCCCCCCGUGACACGCCUCCACACUCCAGCGCGGCCUCUGCUGCAAGGAAACUUACCGCUUCUUCGGGAGCUUAAUUUUUGCAAUGUAGCUCAGACAGUAGUUGAUUAAAUCCUGUACCAGGGCCUCACCCAGGUGACCUUGUAUAUUCUAGAUAAAGAGAGAAAACACUGGAGUUACUGGAUUUAGCAGGGGACAUUCCACAAGAGCCAGCUAAGGCCCUCUGCCACUACUAUCCAACGUCAUCACACUGACACAGGGAGACGAUGACCGACCCGACCACUUCCUUCUCAUUUUCCUCUGGUUGAAAACACUCAGCAAAUCAGAAAAGCUUUAGUCAAAAGCA